rnacentral:snRNA from 1 species
GGAUGUAAAAAACUGUCACCUCAUCAAUCACCUGGAUUGAUUCAGUUGAUCUGGCUGGCUUAGGUAGGUGUCUCCCUACUCCCUCACCACUCCUUGAGGACUCCUUCCUGAGGCAGUAUAUUCGGUGGAAGAGAGCAACCUUCCCUAAUGAAGGAAGCAACUGUUCUUUAGUCAGGAGUCCAUGAAUAGCUGAGUGUCCCUGCUAGAAUUUUUCAACAAGCUCAGCAACUCAGGAACCUGUAGGGAGUACCCUUUAACAUAAAUGCCAAUUCAGUAAUAGCUGAAAUAAUUAAUUG